UUUUUUUCCUCUGGUCAUAGGAAGUGGAUUUGGAUGAAGGACUCGUUGAUUUGGAUCUCAGAAAUGAUUCAGAUACCCCUGAUGUUCCACCACCAACAGACAGCACUCCAGAAAUCCUCAAAAGGGCUUUGUCGGGCUUGUCUGCCAGAUGGAAAAACUGGUGGAUUCGUGGAAUUCUAACGCUAGCUAUGAUUUCUGUGUUUUUUCUGAUCAUAUACAUGGGAUCGUUCAUGCUGAUGCUUCUGGUCUUGGGCAUCCAAGUGAAAUGUUUCCACGAAAUCAUUACCAUAGGUUACAGAGUGUACCACUCGUAUGAUUUACCGUGGUUCAGAUCCCUCAGCUGGUAAGUAGCAAGCAAGGUGGUC